rnacentral:rRNA from 1 species
UAAGCAUAUCACUAAGCGGAGGAGAAGAAACUAACCAGGAUUUCCCUAGUAACGGCGAGCGAACCGGAAAGAGCCCAGCUUGGAAAUCGUGGUGCCUCGCACCUCGAAUUGUAGUCUGGAGAAGGUCCCUCUGCGACGCGCCGGAUCCAAGUUCCCUGGAAAGGGACGUCAGAGAGGGUGACAACCCCGUCGAGUCCGGAAUGCGUCGCUCCACGAGGACCUGUCUGCGAGUCGGGCUGUUUGGGAAUGCAGCCCUAAGUGGGUGGUAAAUUCCAUCCAAGGCUAAAUAUUGGCAAGAGACCGAUAGCGAACAAGUACCGCGAGGGAAAGAUGAAAAGGACUUUGAAAAGAGAGUUAAAAAGUGCUUGAAAUUGCUGGGAGGGAAGCGAAUGGAAGCUGCGGGUGCGCCCCGGUUGAAUGUGGAACGGCUUCGGCUGGUCCGCCACUCAACGCGGGGCGCUGGUCAGCGUGGGCCAUCGCGCCGGGACAAGAGCAGGGAUUCGCUUCCUGCCUAUGCCGGUGCGGUGGCCGAGGAACGAAGCAUGCGCCUUCUGGCGUGGGUUCGCCCAACUGCAUGCUCGGGACGCUGGCGUAUUGAGCUCUUCAUCCGACCCGUCUUGAAACACGGACCAAGGAGUCUAACAUGUAUGCGAGCCGGUGGGCGGCAAACCCAUUGAGGCGCAAGUAAACUGACAGGUGGGACCCCGACCGCAAGGAAGGGAGCACCAUCGACCGACCGUGAUCUUCUGUGAAGGGUUCGAGUUGUGAGCA